rnacentral:rRNA from 1 species
UACGUAGGGGGCAAGCGUUGUCUGGAUUUAUUGGGCGUAAAGCGCGUGUAGGCGGCCAGAUAGGUCUGCUGUGAAAACUCGAGGCUCAACCUCGAGCUGUCGGCGGAAACCAUCUGGCUAGAGUCCGGAAGAGGAGAGUGGAAUUCCUGGUGUAGCGGUGAAAUGCGCAGAUAUCAGGAAGAACACCUAUGGCGAAGGCAGCUCGCUGGGACGUGACUGACGCUGAGACGCGAAAGCGUGGGGAGCGAACAGG